GGAGGUGACUGGAGUCUGGUGGCUUCCCUGGUCUUCAAAACCACGGACGCGUCCUUGGGGCGUGUGGUGGGUUCGAUUCCCAUCCACCUCCGCCA
rnacentral:tRNA from 1 species